GAUAUUUUUUUCUUUUUUCGCAGGGAAUGGGUAAUCGAUGGAGCAGAGACGGGUGAACGUAGGCUUACGGCAGCUGUCCCAGAGAGCUAGGGCUGCUACUCUACGCCGCAUGCAUGGUGUCCUCUCCCUUCACACGGCAGCAAAUACGCCCGAUCAGAGCAACAAAAAAAUAAAUAAAAAAUAAAUGCGGGCAACAUAAAUCGGUUUCGCAUGAACCGAGCUGUCAUGUGCAUACCUAAUAGAGCUCGCUCCCCGUUCGGCCACACACGGCACGUUGAAUAGCAGCAUAAUAACCAUUUGCGUGCCUACCUCCGGAGCGUGUGUGCGCUUUUUUUUUUUCUUCCUCCUCUCUCUCCCCCUCCCCUGUCCUUCGUCUUUUGCUCCCCCGUCGCAAUGGGAUCCUUCUCCGCCGCGCUGGACAGUAUCAGAAGAUGCGUCUUUCCCCGAAAUGCAAACACUUCCCCUGCAUAUCCCCCCUCCGCCACCUCCAGCAGCAGCAGCAGCAGCAGCAGCAGCAGCCCGGGCCUCCAGUAAUAGCAGGUGGACGCGCCUCUCAGUGAUGGAGACAGCGCGGCUCUGCUCUCCGCCGCCGCUCCAUUACGCUCAGCCACGGAAGGAUUCGUAUUCCAGGAAACGCGCUACGGAGCCGCCAGCAUGUCCCGACGUCGCCUCUUUUCUCGGGACAAGCAGAGCGGCCGUCGGCUCUGAAACUCUUGCGUCGCGGCGCCCCCUCCCCUCGCGUGUGAUCUUCUUUUUUACUAGAAGCUUGAUGUUGUCACUGUCACGCCGUAUUUUCCUUUUUUCUCUUUUUUUCUUCUUUUUUUUUUUUUUUUUUUUGCAGCUGGACCUCUCCCCCUCCUUUGCGACGCGCAGUCUCGUAGGCGCGCACCGUGCUGAUCCCCCCCUCUCCCCCCCCCCUUCCGUUCCCCUCCUCCUCCUCCUGUGAUUCUUCUCUGCCCGACCUAUGAGCGCGCACAGCCAGCCGACGCAGGGCCACGCACUGCUUUGACGGACGCGCUGAACAAAUCAGAUGUGUCCCUGAGCCCAUCUGCAUGCAUUGCCACUCAAUAAGACUGCGGCCUUUCAGAAAUACGUUUACAGAGGGAUCCAUUGUGUGCAGAGAGUUUCUUCGAUUAUCUAUGCUGCGGCUGAGAGAAAGCCUGCGCCGUUUGUUCUGCGAGUUUAAUAUCAAGCCCAAACCUCAUGAGUAAAUACGGUUGGAUCUGCAGACUUUGCUGUGGCGGAAAUCGGAGCCCCUUAUAACAACAAGACUGCAUCACAUGACCCUGCUGAGUACGGCUCUAGU